GACGAACGCUGGCGGCGUGCUUAACACAUGCAAGUCGAGCGAUGAAACACCUUCGGGUGCGGAUUAGCGGCGAACGGGUGAGGAACACGUGAGGAAUCUGCCUUCCACUCUGGGAUAACUCCGGGAAACCGGGGCUAAUACCGGAUACUUUCAACUGGCGGCAUCGCCGGUUGAAGAAAGUUUUUCGGUGGAAGAUGACCUCGCGGCCUAGCAGCUUGUGGGUGAGGUAAAGGCUAACCAAGGCGACGACGGGUAGCCGGCCUGAGAGGGCGACCGGCCACACUGGGACUGAGACACGGCCCAGACUCCUACGGGAGGCAGCAGUGGGGAAUAUUGGGCAAUGGAGGAAACUCUGACCCAGCGACGCCGCGUGAGGGAUGAAGGCCUUCGGGUUGUAAACCCCUUUCAGCAGGGAAUAAGCGAAAGUGAAGGUACCUGCAGAAGAAGCACCGGCUAACUAUGUGCCAGCAGCCGCCGUAA
rnacentral:rRNA from 1 species